CUCCUCUGUGCAGGACACAAUCCUGUCUACUGCCCCUGAGAGCCCUGGUUCAUCUCGUCCCUCCAUUCCAGUUCCUUCUAGAAGGUAAAAGUUGGAAAGUGACCUGAGCCCAGUGCGGGACAAUAUGGCAGUGCUCUUCAAGGCCUCCGCUGGAACAUCUUGUGUCUCCCAAGCUGGAUGCUGUGCCUGGUCAUUGGAGAAAGUAAAGGCAAAGCCUCAGGACAGCUUCCAGACACCAGUCUCUUCAUCGGGACGAGGUCAGCUGCUGGCUCCCAGGUUGGGUCCAGCUCUUCAUCAUUUACUAUUAGACCCACAC
rnacentral:lncRNA from 1 species